rnacentral:rRNA from 1 species
UACGUAGGGGGCAAGCGUUGUCCGGAUUUACUGGGCGUAAAGAGCGCGCAGGCGGUCGAUCAAGUCGAGUGUGAAAGCCCCCGGCUCAACUGGGGAGGGUCAUUCGAUACUGAUCGACUCGAAGGCAGGAGAGGGUAGUGGAAUUCCCGGUGUAGCAGUGAAAUGCGUAGAGAUCGGGAGGAACAUCAGUUGCGAAGGCGGCUCUCUGGACCAGCACUGACACUGAGGCACGAAAGCGUGGGGAGCAAACAGG